GGUAUUCAAAGAUCGUAUAGUGGUUAGUACAUUGCGUUGUGGCCGCAAUAACCCAGGUUCGAAUCCUGGUCACGGCACCA
rnacentral:tRNA from 1 species